AACGCACAUUGCGCCCCUUGGCAUUCCGGGGGGCAUGCCUGUUCGAGCGUCACUUCAACCCUCAAGCUCUGCUUGGUAUUGGGCCACGCCAGCGAUGGCGAGCCUUAAAACCAGUGGCGGUGCUGCCGAGCCCUGUGCGUAGUAAUUCUUCUCGCUACUGGGCCCCGGUGGACACUUGCCAUCAACCCCAACUUUCUAUGGUUGACCUCGGAUCAGGUAGGGAUACCCGCUGAACUUAA
rnacentral:misc_RNA from 1 species